CCUACGGGAGGCAGCAGUGGGGGAUAUUGCACAAUGGGGGGAACCCUGAUGCAGCGACGCCGCGUGGGUGAAGGAGCGUUUCGGCGCGUAAAGCCCUAUCGGCAGGGAAGAAGGAGGACGGUACCUGACUAAGACGCCCCGGCUAACUACGUGCCAGCAGCCGCGGUAAUACGUAGGGGGCAAGCGUUAUCCGGAUUUAUUGGGUUUAAAGGGUGCGCAGGCGGGAGAUCAAGUCAGCGGUAAAAUGUCGGGGCUCAACCCCGGCCGGCCGUUGAAACUGGUUUUCUAGAGUGGGAGAGAGGUAUGCGGAAUUGGUGGGGUAGCGGGGAAAGGCAUAGAUAUCACGAAGAACCCCGUUUGAGAGGGCAGCAUACCGGAUCCAUACGGACGCUGAGGCACGAAAGCGUGGGGAUCGAACAGGAUUAGAUACCCCAGUAGUC
rnacentral:rRNA from 1 species